CUUUGAAUAGUGAGAAAAAAAUUUGUGCAGUUUUGUUUAAUAAAAUGGAUUGAUUAUAAGGUAACUGUUGUUGUUUUUUAUCAUAUUAACAUCCAAAAAAGAUCAUGACUUAUCAUUUUAUUUUAUUUUUACACAUAUUAGGCUCUUUGUCUUUGUUUAAAGUUUGACUAAGAGAUAAGCUUUAUGCAUGUACUGUCAAGUAUGUUUCACUUUAUUCCAAAAUAAUUGACAAAUACUCAGUCAAGCAAUGUACUAAGUUUAAAAAUUAUCAUUCAAUUAGUACAAUGAAGUUGAAGAUGUAUAAAGAAAUGUUAUACACAUUUUUUCCAGACAAAACCCCCCCAUAAGGAUGACAAUGUACUUGGACAAGAUUCUAAGACCUUUUUGAAAGAAAUAUGAAUAGGGGACUUCUAUAGCAGAAGAAGUAUAGCCAAACUUGCAGAAAACAACAACCGAAUGACUGCAUCACUAAAGAAAAGAAACAGGAUUUCUCCAAAUGUAGAAAUGCAGACAGCUCUUCACCAUCAACUGUGAUCCUUUGUAAUUUUGUGUACAUAUGAAACUAAAUGACUGCAAAGAAAUGUUUUUUGUUGUUCUUAGGUUGUUGUAUGCAUACUUCA